UUUUGUUUUAACAAUAUAAAUAAUAAUGUAAUACUUUUAAUGCAAAGUUUCUCCGCCAGUUCUCGUGGGUGUAGGUUUAACGGGUUGUGAUACUGAUUUAAAAAAAAAUAUAUUUUUUAUUUUAUUUUAUUUAAUUUUUAGCGGCAGGUCAAAGGCUACAAACAAAAUGGCGGAACACCGGUUUGUUUCUACAGUGCUGUGACCGUCUACUUUAAUGCUGCGGAGUCUCUUAGUCCCUGCUCGCAGCUAAUCGCUUCUCUUGGUUGUUGUAUGGAAAAAUACUUCGGCCGAGUCUCCAGGUGAACACAGACGGAAGGAAGCCCACAGCACAGCGGCUAGCAGCUGCAGACCUGCCCGCUGUGUGACGAGAGCUUCCUCGUCGGGGAGCAACAUCACAGAGCAGAUACAUUGCUUAUUAAUACUCCCCUAGGGUUGGAGGGUCUUCAUCAGCGCUCCGUCAGGAUCCAAAUGCAUGACAUUAAAACUCCAAUAAGUGGCAAAGAUGAACAGAAAGAAGGAUAAAGGAUUCGAGAGCCCGCGGCCUUUUAAAUUGACCCACCAGGUGGUGUGCAUAAACAACAUCAAUUUCCAAAGGAAGUCUGUCAUUGGCUACGUGGAGCUGACCAUUUUCCCCACAGUGGUCAACCUGAACAGGAUCAAGUUAAACAGCAAACAGUGCCGUAUCUACAGGGUCAGAGUCAACGAGCUCGAAGCCCCCUUCAUUUACAAUGACCCCACACUGGAAGUGUGCCACAACGAGUCCAAGCAACGGAACCUGAACUAUUUCUCCAGUGCCUACACAGCAGCUGUGAGUGCUGUGGACCCUGAUGCUGGAAAUGGAGAACUGGUUAUCAAAGUUCCCUCUGAACUCUGGAAGCAAGGAGAUGAUCUGAAGGUGUUAAAGGUUUAUAUUGAGUUUUCGUUGGACCAGCCCAAAGGGGGUCUCCACUUUGUAGUUCCUGAUGUGGAAGGCAGCAUGGCAGAGAGGGGAGCCCAUGUGUUCUCCUUUGGAUACCAGAACUCCACAAGGUUCUGGUUCCCCUGUGUGGACUCCUAUUCAGAGCUGUGUACCUGGAAGCUGGAGUUUACUGUGGAUGCAUCCAUGGUGGCAGUGUCCUGUGGGGACCUGGUGGAGACCAUCUACACCCAUGACAUGAGGAAGAAAACUUUCCACUAUGUCCUUCCCAUCCCCACUGCAGCCCCUAACAUAUCUCUGGCUGUUGGGCCCUUUGAAAUCCUUGUGGACCCCUACAUGCAUGAGGUGACCCAUUUCUGCUUGCCGCAGCUGCUCCCUCUGCUCAAACACUCCAUGUCCUACCUGCAUGAGAUUUUUGAGUUCUACGAAGAGAUCCUGACGUGCCGCUACCCAUACUCCUGCUUCAAGACCGUGUUUGUGGAUGAGGCCUAUGUUCAAGUGUCAUCUUACGCUUCGAUGAGCAUCUUCAGUACCAACCUGCUCCACAGCCCUAUGAUCAUAGACCAGACCCCGCAGACCCGGCGCUGUCUGGCUCAGGCCUUGGCUCAGCAGUUCUUUGGCUGUUUUAUCUCCAGAAUGUCAUGGGCUGAUGAGUGGGUGUUGAAGGGCAUCUCUGGCUACAUAUAUGGCCUUUACCUGAAGAAGACGUUCGGAGUCAAUGAAUACCGACACUGGAUUAAAGAGGAGCUGGACAGGAUUGUGGAGUAUGAACUGAAGAUGGGAGGUGUUCUGUUGCACCCCACCUUCAGUGGAGGCAAAGAAAAGGACAAUCCAACUCCCCACCUUCACUUCUCCAUCAAGCACCCCCACACCCUGUCCUGGGAGUACUUCAGGAUGUUCCAGUGUAAGGCUCACCUAGUUAUGAGGCUGAUUGAAAACAGGAUCAGCAUGGAGUUCAUGCUGCAGGUGUUUAACAAACUCCUGAGCCUGGCCAGUACAGCGUCAUCGCAGAAGUACCAGAGCCACAUGUGGAGCCAGAUGCUUCUGUCAACUCACGCUUUCCUCAAAUCCAUCUCCAACGUCUCUGGCAAAGACAUCGGCCCUCUGAUCAAACAGUGGGUAGAUCAGAGCGGGGUGGUGAAAUUCUUUGGCAGCUUUGCUUUCAACAGGAAGAGAAAUGUGCUGGAGCUGGAGAUCCGCCAGGACUACACGUCCUCUGGAACUCAGAAAUAUGUGGGACCCAUCAAGGUGACGGUCCAGGAGCUGGAUGGCUCUUUCAACCACACGCUGCAGAUAGAGGAGAACAGUCUGAAACAUGACAUCCCCUGCCAUUCAAAGAGCAGAAGAAACAAGAAGAAGAAGAUUCCUCUAAUGAAUGGAGAGGAAGUUGACAUGGAUUUGUCUGCAAUGGAUGCUGACUCUCCUCUCCUGUGGAUCCGAAUUGACCCAGACAUGUCCAUUCUGAGGAAAGUGGAGUUUGAGCAGGCCGACUUCAUGUGGCAAUAUCAGCUGCGCUAUGAGAGGGACGUGGUUGCACAGGAGGAAGCCAUCACAGCACUGGAAAAAUUUCCAACUCCUGCCUCCAGAUUGGCUCUGACUGACAUCCUGGAGCAAGAACAAUGUUUUUACAAAGUCCGCAUGCAGGCCUGCUUUUGCUUGGCCAAGAUUGCCAAUUCCAUGAUGAGCACGUGGCAGGGUCCACCAGCCAUGAAGUCGCUCUUCACCAGAAUGUUCUGCUGUAAGAGCUGCCCCAACAUCGUCAGGACCAACAACUUCAUUAACUUCCAGAGCUACUUCCUGCAGAAGACGAUGCCGGUUGCCAUGGCGUUACUCAGAGAUGUGCAGAACCUCUGUCCCAAAGAUGUCCUCAACUUUAUACUUGACCUCAUCAAGUAUAAUGACAACCGGAAAAACAAAUUCUCAGAUAACUACUACCGAGCAGAUCUGAUCGAGGCCUUGACCAACUCCCUCACUCCAGCCAUCAGCAUCAGCAAUGAGGUGCGAACGGUGGACAAUUUAAAUCCUGAUGUCCGUCUCAUCCUGGAGGAGAUCACUCGCUUCCUGAACAUGGAGAAGCUGCUGCCAAGUUUCAGGAACACCAUCACUGUUAGCUGUCUGAGAGCUAUUCGGCAGCUUCAGAAGAACGGCCAUAUUCCCAGUGACCCGUCGCUCUUCAAGGCCUACGCUGAGUAUGGACACUUUGUAGACGUUCGUGUUUCUGCUCUGGAGGCUCUUAUCGACUACACUAGAGUUGAAAGGAGCUCCACAGACCUGCAGUGGCUGCUUGACAUGGUCCAGAAUGACCCGGUUCACUAUGUCAGACAUAAGGUUCUGGGCAUGCUCUGUAAGAACCCACCGUUCACUAAGACAGCAGACUCAGGUCUGUGUAAUGAAGCUCUGGUUGAUCAGCUCUGGAAACUAAUGAACUCAGGUACCGCCCAUGACUGGCGACUGCGCUGCGAUGCAGUCAACCUCUACUACACGCUGUUCGGUCCGACCCGACCGUCGUGCCUGCCCCUGCCGGAGCUGGGCCUAGUGCUUAACCUGAAAGAGAAGAAGGCGGUCCUCAACCCCACCAUCAAGCCGGAGCUUGGAGUCACCGUUGUCAUGGACACGCCAGCCAGUAUAGGCAUCCACGGUGUUGGGAUGAGCUAUGCAGCUGUGGAUGAAGAGCCGGAUCCUGUCUCUUUGGGGGUGUGUGGUGUGGGCCAACCCCCUCAGGGCCUGAAGAGGAAGGCUGAGACCCCUUUGGGUUCCCCUCCGGAGCCGGGACAGAUCCUGCAGCACCAGGACGAUGAUGGGAGGGCAGGACGCUACAAGAUCAGGUUUAACACCAUGGAAGAGGAGGAUAUUGAUAUGGAGACAGUUCAUGACAGUCAGGCCUUCAUUCACCAUCAUCUCAACCUGUUAGAGAGACCAUCCACACCAGGUAAAGAACCGGCGCUGGUGGAGCAGUCCUUGAUGUCCAUGCCUGCUACUCCUGUGCCCCCGUUCCCCAAGGAGAUAGCCUCCUUGUCUUCCAAGCAUGGAGGUGACCACAGCCACCAUCACCACCACCACCAUCAUGAGCACAAGAAGAAGAAGAAGCACAAGCACAAGCACAAACACAAGCAUAAGCACAAACAUGACAGCAAAGACAAAGAGAAGGACAGAGACAGGGACAACUCGUACGCCUACAGCAACAGCCCGGCCAGCGGCAGGUCUCCACUCUCGCUCUCCGACUGAACAUCUGGAGUAUGUCUGGCUUCCAGCUGCUGGUGGUUCACACGGGGUCAUCUGCAUACAUCUGUGUGACAGGCGCAGCCAUCAGUCCCAUUGAGGGUGGAGACACAUCCAACACGUUCAGAAGAGUCAGAUGUUUCAUCUGCUGAACUAAAGCAAGGCUGAUGUGUCAAAAAGUUCAACCUUCCAACAUGCCUGCUCACUCUCACACACACACACACACUGCGGCCAGCCAGUCUUAGCUGACCUCAUAAUCUCUUCCUCUCCAAACGAAGUUACCACUCUGGUGAGCCUCAGCCCACACUUGGGCAAGCAGUUCCUGAGGUCAAACAGAACCAUUAGCGUGGCGUCCCUGGACUGGGCCUGCAGAGAACACACACUGACUGCGUUGUGCAACUGAAACUCAUGUGGUGCCAUGGGCUUUGUUUUAAUGCCUCCGUUUUCCUGCUGUCGCCACUGAUUUAAGAUGCUGUUGGGUUUUAACUAAAACGGGUCCAGAUCCACAGCAGCUGUCUGCGGCCGGGCUUCGUCUGGUCCCGAUUCUCAGCUUUGAUGUGCUUUUAACAAGCAGAACAAUCAACAUUUUUCUUCAUGUUAUUUGCAGCAACAAUAAAAGCUUUAUGCUGAGGCGACUCCUUUCUCCACUAAGUUGGAAGCUAGUGAAAUAAACUGUAGGUCAUGUUGUGGAAAACGAUCAUCUGGUGGAAGUCAGAAGCCAGCAUUGGUUCUACAGAGGAACUAUAGCUGAUGUUGGGACAGACGAUACCAACAGCAAGAACAACCUACCCGUUUAGACUUUAUUUUAGGAGCUUUGCUUUACUUUUUCCUACUUUGGAGUUUGGAGGUUCAAAAUUGUUGGAAUUGAAAUAAAAUCUCUUUUGUAUUCUUGGUA